rnacentral:sRNA from 1 species
GCUGCUGCAGGCGCUGUAGCUGCUGCUGCUGUAGCAGGCUGUGCUGCUGCUGCUGCAGCUGUGCUAACUGCUGCUGUUGCAGUUGGUGCUGCUGCAGCUGGUGUAACUGUUGCUGCAGGGCAUGCUGUUGCUGAAACGGCUGCAGCUGCUGCUGAG